GACGAACGCUGGCGGCGUGCUUAACACAUGCAAGUCGAACGGAAAGGCCCUGCUUUUGUGGGGUGCUCGAGUGGCGAACGGGUGAGUAACACGUGAGUAACCUGCCCUUGACUUUGGGAUAACUUCAGGAAACUGGGGCUAAUACCGGAUAGGAGCUCCUGCUGCAUGGGGAGGGUUGGAAAGUUUCGGCGGUUGGGGAUGGACUCGCGGCUUAUCAGCUUGUUGGUGGGGUAGGGGCUUACCAAGGCUUUGACGGGUAGCCGGCCUGAGAGGGUGACCGGCCACAUUGGGACUGAGAUACGGCCCAGACUCCUACGGGAGGCAGCAGUGGGGAAUAUUGCACAAUGGGCGGAAGCCUGAUGCAGCAACGCCGCGUGCGGGAUGACGGCCUUCGGGUUGUAAACCGCUUUCGCCUGUGACGAAGCGUGAGUGACGGUAAUGGGUAAAGAAGCACCGGCUAACUACGUG
rnacentral:rRNA from 1 species